rnacentral:tRNA from 1 species
GUGGCUCAGUGGUAGAGCGCUUGUCUUGCAUGCAUGUGGCUCUGGGUUCGAUUCCUCAGC